UGUUUUCACAGGACCAGAAUUUCUUCAGUACUCCCCCCCCCCCACUUGUAUAUGCUAGGCAUAAUGCUGACACCUACAUGAUGCAUAUCUUUUUUUUUCAUUACGCACUCUGCUACACUCGCAAUGUAUAAUAAAAUAUUCCAUUCAUUUCUAACUCAUCCCCUACCAAUGUCACUUCAAAUACAGGGCAUCUGUAUCUUUAAAUUUGAGCUGCACUUAAGUGCGAAACUGUCCCUUGCUACCAUGAAACAUCAGGGGCGGAUCCAGGAAUUACGGUUACGGGGCGCGCCACUUUAUGAGGCAGGGGGUCUGGGGACCACCUUGAGGUGGGGGCCCAGGGGGCAAAGCCCCCGGAAGCUCUUAGAUUUUGCAGAUUUUAUAGGGCUUGAAAUGUCUUCUAUUUAAGUCAUUUGUACUAUUUUUUAUCAUUUUUAAUAUGGCGAAAUUAGUAAAAUGACGUAAUUUUAAAGGUUUUUGGAAAAAAUCAAGUUCUCCCAAUUAAAAAAUUCAAUAAAUCAAAAGAUUUUGUCAUUUAUUUCCUCGGGAGUGGAAGAAAGUAUUGCUUUUAUUAUCGUUUAGUACAUUUUUCUAAACAAGAUAGGCCAAUACCACGAUUUACCUUAAAUUUGAAAAUUUUAGGGGGGGGGGGGGGGCUGCGCCCCCACCCCCUUAAAUCCGCCACUGAACAUAUUUUGCUUUAAAACAUAAACCAACAAUCCUUAAUUGUAAUUUCUUUUCAUCUUUAAAAAGGGUAUUGACAUCACAAUAUCUAGUGGAAAGUUCCCAGGUAUCGUCCGCUAGUGACAGUCUACUGGCAAAGCCAGACAUGCAUUGGUAGGAUGCUGAUUUGAAAAACACAGGGACACCUGAUCCAAGAACUGUGCCAUUUCAUUCAGAGUGACAACCUGACAUUCAGUUGAUAUGGGACCCGAUUAUUCAGAGAACUGCAGAUUUUAUGAAGCUGUUUUUGACAGAAGAUCUGGUUUUCUCCAUCUGUGUUGCCACCAACCAUUAUGCUGAGAUGGUCAUAUCUAGGGGGAAGGAUUGUCAUUAUGCUUCCCAAGGAAGUUCGCAGCCUUUCACUGAAGAGGAACUGUACAGAUUUUUGGGCAUUAUCUUAUACAUGUCUGCUGUGAAGUUCCGUUCGAUGGACAGAUAUUGGUCAAUGCAUGCCCCUAUCGGAACAACCCAGUACAGUGUAUCAAGAAUGAUGUCUAGAAAUAGAUUUUAAGAGGUUGAAUAUAAGAACAUUUUUUGUUAAAUAUGAUGCAAGUACAUUUAAAUCUAGUGAUUGAAAGUAAGUACUCGUUGAACUUGGAGAGGAAAAUCGGGUAGGUUUUUUUUUUAUAACAUUUGAUAAGGUGCUGUUGCUUAGCAACCAAAUAUAUUUGAAUGCAAACAAUUAAAUUAUUUUAGAUUAAUAAUAAAGAUCUUUGUUUUAAUGUUGCAAUAUUUAUUCUAAUUAGUGGAACAUAAUGGUAAAACGUCAUAUUAUUAGAAAAUGAUGGAUAUGUACAAUGUAUAUAAAGUACAAAGUUUCCAUUUUAUGACCUUUGACCUUAAUUCUCAUCAUCAUAUUUUUUUGUUAAAAACAUUCUAAAAUGAUUAAGAUUUAUUUAAAGAUUAUAUUUUUAAAAUAAUGUGACAUUUAUUAAUCAUCAUUCAAUGUACUUAUGUUUAAAUUGUGUCGAAUGUAUGCAGAAAGGCAAAUUACGGUCAAAAUUUUACUAUGGGUGUUGUUACUUAGCAACCAAAAUAUUCGUUUGUCAAUAAAAUUGAUUAAUUUGA